GAUGAACGCUGGCGGCAUGCCUAAUACAUGCAAGUCGAGCGAACAGACGAGGAGCUUGCUCCUCUGACGUUAGCGGCGGACGGGUGAGUAACACGUGGAUAACCUAACUAUAAGACUGGGAUAACUUCGGGAAACCGUGGCUACUACCGGAUAAUAUAUUGAACCGCAUGGUUCAAUAGUUAAAGACGGUUUUUGUGUCACUUAUAGAUUGAUCCGCGCAGCAUUCGCUAGUUGGUAAGGUAACGGCUUACCCAGGCGACGAUGGUUAGCCGACCCGAGAGGGACGACGGCCACACUGGCACUGAGACACGUUACAGACUCCUACGGUAGGCAACAGUAGGGAAUCUUCCGCGAGGGGCGAAAGCCUGAUGGAGCAACGCCGCGUGAGUGAUGAAGGACUUCGGAUGGUAGAACUCUGUAAUUAGGAAAGAACAAAAGUGUAAGUAACUAUGCUCGUCUUGACAGUACCUAAACAGAAAGCCACGGCUAACUACGUG
rnacentral:rRNA from 1 species